rnacentral:rRNA from 1 species
GUCGAUCCUAAGAGAUAGCAGAAAUCCGUUGCAAGGCGGGCAUUGGAUUCUUGGCAUCUGCCUUUUGUCUUUGCCCCUUCUAUCGAAAGGGAAUCGGGUUAAUAUUCCCGAACCAGGACGUGGAUGUUGAGUGGUAACACAAGCAAAGCCGGGGACGACGGCGGGGGCCCCGACAAGAGUUGUCUUUUCUUGUUAACAGGUGCACCGACCCUGGAAUCGGAUUGACCGGAGAUAGGGUUGGCGGCCUGGGAAAGGCGGUUACUUUUUGACCGUUUCGGUGCGCCCUCGACGUUCCUUGAAAACCUGGUGGCGUGUCUUAUUCGCACCCCUGGUCGUACUCAUCACCGCAUCAGGUCUCCAAGGUUAGCAGCCUCUAGUCGAUAGAAGAAUGUAGAUAAGGGAAGUCGGCAAACUAGAUCCGUAACUUCGGGAAAAGGAUUGGCUCUGAGGGUUGGGCCUAGGGGUCUCCUGGCUUUAGUUGCGGCUGCUAGGAGGGACUGCGUCUCACGAUGCGGACCUUCCGGGCGGCCCUUCGUCGGCUUGGAGGAUGCCACGGCGAUGAACAACCAGCUCAGAACUGGAGCGGACAAGGGGAAUCCGACUGU